UGGGGAAUAUUGCACAAUGGGCGCAAGCCUGAUGCAGCAACGCCGCGUGAACGAUGAAGGUCUUCGGAUCGUAAAGCUCUGUUGCAGGGGAAGAUAAUGACGGUAACCUGUGAGGACGCCCCGGCUAACUACGUGCCAGCAGCCGCGGUAAUACGUAGGGGGCUAGCGUUAUCCGGAUUUACUGGGCGUAAAGGGUGCGUAGGUGGUCUUUCAAGUCGGUGGUUAAAGGCUACGGCUCAACCGUAGUUAGCCUCCGAAACGGGAAGACUUGAGUGCAGGAGAGGAAAGUGGAAUUCCCAGUGUAGCGGUGAAAUGCGUAGAGAUUGGGAGGAACACCAGUAGCGAAGGCGGCUUUCUGGACUGCAACUGACACUGAGGCACGAAAGCGUGGGUAGCAAACAGG
rnacentral:rRNA from 1 species